rnacentral:rRNA from 1 species
GUGAGGAAUUUUCCGCAAUGGGCGAAAGCCUGACGGAGCAAUGCCGCGUGAAGGAUGAAGGCCUAUGGGUUGUAAACUUCUUUUCUCAGAAAAGAAUUAUGACGGUAUCUGAGGAAUAAGCAUCGGCUAAGUCUGUGCCAGCAGCCGCGGUAAGACAGAGGAUGCAAGCGUUAUCCGGAAUGAUUGGGCGUAAAGCGUCUGUAGGUUGUUUAAAAAGUAUUCUGUCAAAGAUUAGGGCUUAACCCUAGAUAGGCAGAAUAAACUUUUAAGCUAGAGUUUGGUAGAGGCAGAGGGAAUUCCCGGUGGAGCGGUGAAAUGCGUAGAUAUCGGGAGGAACACCAAAGGCGAAGGCACUCUGCUGGGCCAAUACUAACACUGAGAGACGAAAGCGAGGGGAGCAAAUGGGAUUAGAAACCCGUGUAGUCC